GAUGAACGCUGGCGGCGUGCUUAACACAUGCAAGUCGAACGGUGAACGAGGGAGCUUGCUCCCUCCGGAUCAGUGGCGAACGGGUGAGUAACACGUGAGCAAUCUGCCCCGAACUCUGGGAUAAGCGCUGGAAACGGCGUCUAAUACCGGAUACGACGCGCGAAGGCAUCUUCUGCGCGUGGAAAGAAUUUCGGUUCGGGAUGAGCUCGCGGCCUAUCAGCUAGUUGGUGAGGUAACGGCUCACCAAGGCGACGACGGGUAGCCGGCCUGAGAGGGUGACCGGCCACACUGGGACUGAGACACGGCCCGGACUCCUACGGGAGGCAGCAGUGGGGAAUAUUGCACAAUGGGCGCAAGCCUGAUGCAGCAACGCCGCGUGAGGGACGACGGCCUUCGGGUUGUAAACCUCUUUUAGUAGGGAAGAAGCGAAAGUGACGGUACCUGCAGAAAAAGCACCGGCUAACUACGUGCCAGCCGCCGCCGUAAUAC
rnacentral:rRNA from 1 species